GAAAGCAGCAGGGGAACAUGCCCUGUCGGGGGAGGGAGCACUGCAAAUAAAAGGGACUGAAAGAGGCUUUUGAGCAUAGAACAAAGAAAAUGAGAAGGAAGUUGCUUCAAGAUAAGGCCAGAGAGAUCUAGAAGAAAGGAUCUGAGUGACAGGCUUAGGUGCGUUGUCUGCGUCCCAGGAACAGAGCAAAGCACACUGGCUCAGGCAUGAGGAAGCCACACCCCAAUCCUGCCUUUCAGGUGCCAAUGGAGAACAACCCCUUCAGCGGAACCAUGGUGCUUUACAUCUCUCUCUGAACUCUCAGAUCUCCUAAGUGGAGAUGGCUGAUUAAGGCUCUUAUCUUUCACGUUCUAAAAUCAAUUUAGUGUUGUUCGGAGCCAGCAAUGUUAAAAUAUAUUUGUAUUUUGAAACAAAGUUAACAUAGAGAAAUGAAAAAUAAAAUGUUGAGAAUUUUACAUUUAAUUGCAGAUAUAAUUCUGUGUUCUGUAUGUUACUUAGUUUUCUAUCUUAAAUAGUUUGAAGGUAAACACUUCUUUUAC
rnacentral:lncRNA from 10 species